rnacentral:rRNA from 1 species
AUUGAACGCUGGCGGCAGGCCUAACACAUGCAAGUCGAACGGUAGCACAGAGAGCUUGCUCUCGGGUGACGAGUGGCGGACGGGUGAGUAAUGCUUAGGAAUCUGCCUAUUAGUGGGGGACAACAUCUCGAAAGGGAUGCUAAUACCGCAUACGUCCUACGGGAGAAAGCAGGGGAUCACUUGUGACCUUGCGCUAAUAGAUGAGCCUAAGUCGGAUUAGCUAGUUGGUGGGGUAAAGGCCUACCAAGGCGACGAUCCGUAGCGGGUCUGAGAGGAUGAUCCGCCACACUGGGACUGAGACACGGCCCAGACUCCUACGGGAGGCAGCAGUGGGGAAUAUUGGACAAUGGGCGAAAGCCUGAUCCAGCCAUGCCGCGUGUGUGAAGAAGGUCUUCGGAUUGUAAAGCACUUUAAGUUGGGAGGAAGGGCAGUAAGUUAAUACCUUGCUGUUUUGACGUUACCGACAGAAUAAGCACCGGCUAACUCUGUGCCAGCCGCCGCGGUAA